GAUGAACGCUGGCGGCGUGCCUAAUACAUGCAAGUCGAGCGAACGGACCAGAAGCUUGCUUCUCUGAUGUUAGCGGCGGACGGGUGAGUAACACGUGGAUAACCUACCUAUAAGACUGGUAUCACUUCGGGAAACCGGGGCUAAUACCGGAUAAUAUUUUGAACCGCAUGGUUCAAAAGUGAAAGACGGUCUUGCUGUCACUUAUAGAUGGAUCCGCGCUGCAUUAGCUAGUUGGUAAGGUAACGGCUUACCAAGGCAACGAUGCAUAGCCGACGUGAGAGGGUGAUCGGCCACACGGGAACUGAGACACGGUCCAGACUCCUACGGGAGGCAGCAGUAGGGAAUCUUCCGCAAUGGGCGAAAGCAUGACGGAGCAACGCCGCGUGAGUGAUGAAGGUCUUCGGAUCGUAAAACUCUGUUAUUAGGGAAGAACAGAUGUGUAAGUAACUGUGCACAGCUUGACGGUACCUAAUCAGAAAGCCACGGCUAACUACGUG
rnacentral:rRNA from 1 species